rnacentral:rRNA from 1 species
CGGCUCAGUAACACGUGGAUGACCUACCCUCAGAUCUGGGAUAACUCCGGGAAACUGGAGAUAAUACCGGAUAAUCCGUGAACGCUGGAAUGCCUUACGGUUGAAAGCUUUAGCGUCUGAGGAUGGGUCUGCGGCCGAUUAGGUAGUUGCUGGGGUAACGUCCCAACAAGCCGAUAAUCGGUACGGGUUGUGAGAGCAAGAGCCCGGAGAUGGAUUCUGAGACACGAAUCCAGGUCCUACGGGGCGCAGCAGGCGCGAAAACUUUACACUGCGCGAAAGCGCGAUAAGGGGACCUCGAGUGCGUGCGCAAAGCGUACGCUUUUCAGAUGCCUAAAAAGCAUCUGGAAUAAGGGCCGGGCAAGACCGGUGCCAGCCGCCGCGGUAACACCGGCGGCUCAAGUGGUGGCCGCUAUUAUUGGGCUUAAAGGGUCCGUAGCCGGACCAGUUAGUCCCUUGGGAAAUCUUACGGCUUAACCGUAAGGCUGCCAAUGGAUACUGCUGGUCUUGGGACCGGGAGAGGCAAGAGGUACCUCAGGGGUAGGAGUGAAAUCCUGUAAUCCUUGAGGGACCGCCAGUGGCGAAGGCGUCUUGCUAGAACGGGUCCGACGGUGAGGGACGAAAGCUAGGGGCACGAACCGGAUUAGAUACCCGGGUAGUCCUAGCCGUAAACGAUG